GGUUGAAACAUAUGAAGCUGCAAAUAGAACAAAAGCGAGCAGCGAGAUUGACAAUUUGAUCGGGCUUCCACUUGAUUUUCCGGGACCAUUCUUUUCUGAUGGCGCAGUUUUAGAUCCAGUUCCUGAAGGUGUACCUGGAACUUCUGGUGUUCCUGUUGGAAAGGCAGCUGGAGAUGUAGCAUAGCAGCGGCUAAUGGGUGGAGUUUGAACAUUGCAAGCACCAGGUAAGGUUAGAGCCUGGGUCCGAUUGAUGUUUAUCCCAAGUGAUGAGCCACCACCA
rnacentral:misc_RNA from 1 species